UGGUGUCUUGACUCGCCAAGCGCUGCUCCAUUUCUUUCAUCCUUAUCUCAGUGACCAGUACUGGUCAUUACCGAGUGGACACUUUAUUAGUGGUCAAAUUUUAUUUUUAUUUUGAAUUAAUCGGAGUGGUCUAGUGUUGGAAAAAAUUCUACCGAGAUCUACAAGCUGAUGUAAAACAAAAAAAAGGUCUAGGAAGUGUCGCUGGAGCGAUGAUGCUGAUUUUCUUAUAACUGUCUGACAUCUUAAUUCAAGACGUAGUUUGUCCUAAGUCAAUCUGACGAAACAUCUGAAGAAGAUUAGAAACAUCUCUAGAAUAUUUAUACAUGGACGAGCUGCAAUGACACGGUCUCAGUGUGUAGAUACAUUGCACUGCAAGUCAAGCAAUUAAGUGAAUAGACUUCUGACACCAUCAUG